GACAGAGGGGGCAAGCGUUGCUCGGAAUCACUGGGCGUAAAGGGCGCGUAGGCGGGAUGGCAAGUCAGUCGUGAAAUCUCUCGGCUCAACCGAGAAACGUCGGCUGAUACUGCCGUUCUUGAGGGAUGCAGAGGAGACUGGAAUUCCCGGUGUAGCGGUGAAAUGUGUAGAUAUCUGGAGGAACACCGGUGGCGAAGGCGGCGUCCUGGACCAACACUGACACUGAGGAGCGAAAGCCAGGGGAGCAAACGGG
rnacentral:rRNA from 1 species